AGAAUCAACGCUGGCGGCGUGCCUAACACAUGCAAGUCGAACGAGAAAGUGGAGCAAUCCAUGAGUACAGUGGCGCACGGGUGAGUAACACGUGACUAACCUACCCUUGAGUGGGGAAUAACCUGGAGAAAUCUAGGCUAAUACCGCAUAACACCUACGGGUCAAAGGAGCAAUUCGCUUAAGGAGGGGUCGCGGCAGAUUAGCUAGUUGGCGGGGUAAUGGCCCACCAAGGCAGUGAUCUGUA
rnacentral:rRNA from 1 species